GCAUAUCAAUAAGCGGAGGAAAAGAAACCAACAGGGAUUGCCUCAGUAACGGCGAGUGAAGCGGCAAAAGCUCAAAUUUGAAAUCUGGCUCUUUCAGGGUCCGAGUUGUAAUUUGUAGAAGAUGUUUCGGGUGUGGUCCCAGUCUAAGUUCCCUGGAACUGGACAUCACAGAGGGUGAGAAUCCCGUAUGUGACUGGGUACCUACGUCCAUGUGAAACUCUUUCGACGAGUCGAGUUGUUUGGGAAUGCAGCUCAAAAUGGGUGGUAAAUUUCAUCUAAAGCUAAAUAUUGGCCAGAGACCGAUAGCGCACAAGUAGAGUGAUCGAAAGAUGAAAAGCACUUUGGAAAGAGAGUUAAACAGUACGUGAAAUUGUUGAAAGGGAAGGGCAUGCAAUCAGACUUGCGCCUAGUUGAUCAUCCGGGCUUUUGCCCGGUGCACUCGAUUAGGCUCAGGCCAGCAUCAGUUUAGAGGGUUGGAUAAAGGCCUUGGGAAUGUGGCCCCUCUCGGGGGGUGUUAUAGCCCAAGGUGCAAUGCAGCCACUCUGGACUGAGGACCGCGCUUCGGCUAGGAUGCUGGCGUAAUGGUUGUAUGCCGCCCGUCUUGAAACACGGACCAAGGAGUCUAACAUCUAUGCGAGUAUUUGGGUGUUAAACCCAUAUGCGUAAUGAAAGUGAACGGAGGUGAGAGCCCUUAAGGGUGCAUCAUCGACCGAUCCUGAUGUCUUCGGAUGGAUUUGAGUAAGAGCAUAGCUGUUGGGACCCGAAAGAUGGUGAACUAUGCGUGAAUAGGGUGAAGCCAGAGGAAACUCUGGUGGAGGCUCGCAGCGGUUCUGACGUGCAAAUCGAUCGUCAAAUUUGCGUAUAGGGGGCGAAAGACUAAUCGAACCAUCUAGUAGCUGGUUCUGCGA
rnacentral:rRNA from 1 species